GACGAACGCUGGCGGCGUGCUUAACACAUGCCAGUCGAACGGAAAGGCCCUGCUUUUGUGGGGUGCUCGAGUGGCGAACGGGUGAGUAACACGUGAGUAACCUGCCCUUGACUUUGGGAUAACUUCAGGAAACUGGGGCUAAUACCGGAUAGGAGCUCCUGCUGCAUGGUGGGGGUUGGAAAGUUUCGGCGGUUGGGGAUGGACUCGCGGCUUAUCAGCUUGUUGGUGGGGUAGUGGCUUACCAAGGCUGUGACGGGUAGCCGGCCUGAGAGGGUGACCGGCCACAUUGGGACUGAGAUACGGCCCAGACUCCUACGGGAGGCAGCAGUGGGGAAUAUUGCACAAUGGGCGGAAGCCUGAUGCAGCAACGCCGCGUGCGGGAUGACGGCCUUCGGGUUGUAAACCGCUUUCGCCUGUGACGAAGCGUGAGUGACGGUAAUGGGUAAAGAAGCACCGGCUAACUACGUG
rnacentral:rRNA from 1 species